UGAAUUUCUAUUAUCAUAGAAGUUUGUCAAAUACGUCUCAGUUGAGCAGAAAAUCUUCAGGCGAACAUCGACAUCAAAGUGAUACCAUACGGAUACCAAAAAAAUCCUAUGCAACCAAAAAGCAGAUAAUAACCACAGAUGUGCAACAGAGACUACCAGUACCUGAUCAUCAUAUGUUAUGGUGUAGAUCUCAGGAACAGGACACCUAAGUUGAACUCUGGCAAGGUUGUCCCAUGCAGAAGGUUCGAUACCCAGGCUUCUUUCUAUCUACUCUCAUCUUGAGAACUCUUGAGAUCUCUACAUCAGCACGCUACAUCACAAUGGAAAAUACAAGAAAACCAGCAGUGUGACUGAGAUGAUCAGCACAUUUUAGUGGCAUACCUUAUCUACAAGGCACUCUGCAUGUACAUGUAGACUAGGAAUUGUGCACAAGGUAGUCAAUGGUCUCUCUGCCUUUCCCUUGAAAGCCCUAUUUUCCUUCACAUAUCACAAACAUGGGAGAACCAAGCCAGAAGCGACAUAGAUCCGUUUGUAUUUGCCCAACGCUCCGUCCCAAAGUUUAAUAAUGGAACUGGCUUCCAGCAAAUGUAUGCCGACAGUCCUGCCAGGUCGAACUGCAAGGGACUACUCCUGAGGCAUCUAAUGCCCUUAUCUCAUUAAAAAAAUAUCAUCUGUCUUCCUCACACCCCUUCACUAGUUCAUCUUCGUGAUAAGCUGUAUAGCCCUUUGAAUAAAAUUAUUUGUUGUUUUAAUGUGUGUACAUGUAAGAUACAGGUAGCUUUUUGAUAUUUAAUCUGAAUUCAAAUUCUGACCAAUUUAUUAGGGAUGCUGAACUGGAUAUUAAAUUCAAGGUGGGGGAAAUAAAAUGAUGUAGGAAUA